rnacentral:rRNA from 1 species
GCGACGUGCCUAAGGUAUGCAAGUCGAAUGCCGAUUUAUCGGCAUGGCAGACGGCUGAGUAAUACAUGGGAAUCUACCUCAAACUCGAGAAUAGCCCAUCGAAAGGUGGUGUAAUACUCGAUAGUUCCGUUUACGGUAAAGCUCCGGCGGUUUGAGAUGAGCCCAUGUCCUAUCAGGUUGUUGGUAGGGUAAUUGCCUACCAAGCCUAUGACGGGUAGCUGGUUUGAGAGGAUGAUCAGCCAGACUGGGACUGCGAUACGGCCCAGACUCCUACGGGAGGCAGCAACUAGGAAUCAUGCGCAAUGGACGAAAGUCUGACGCUGCGACGUCGCGUGAGGGAUGAAGGUCUUCGGAUCGUAAACCUCUUUUAUCUGGGAACAAGUUCUGAGUGUACCAGAUGGAUAAGUGCCUGCCAACCACGUGCCAGAAGCAUCGGUAAUGCGUGGGGCACGAGCGUUAUCCGGAUUUACUGGGCGUAAAGAGAUGCGUAGGCGCCUUUUUAAGUCACUUGUAAAAUCUCCCCGCUCAACGGGGAAACUGCAAGUGAUACUGAAUUGGUUGAGUCAAGUAGAGGAGAGGGGAACUCCUGGUGGAGCGGUUAAAUGCGUUGAUAUCAGGAGGAAUACCAAGUGCGAAGGCACCUCUCUGGACUUGUACUGACGCUAAGGCUCGAAAGUGUGGGGAGCAAAACGGAUUAGAUACCCGUGUAGUCCACACUGUAAACGAUCCCUGCUAGAUGUUUG